UACGUAGGCAGCAAGCGUUGUUCGGAGUUACUGGGCGUAAAGGGUGCGUAGGCGGCUUUUUAAGUUUGGUGUGAAAUCUCCCGGCUCAACUGGGAGGGUGCGCCGAAUACUGAGAGGCUAGAGUGCGGGAGAGGAAAGUGGAAUUCCUGGUGUAGCGGUGAAAUGCGUAGAUAUUAGGAGGAACACCAGUGGCGAAAGCGACUUUCUGGGACAUUCCUGACGCUGAGGUUCGAAAGCUCGGGGAGCAAACAGG
rnacentral:rRNA from 1 species